CCCUCCUCUGGGUUCUUCCUUUGCUGCACAUUUGAAAACCGCCCCUCCACACACACAAAUAUGGAGGCUGAUAACUAUAGAUUACCCUUCCUGCUCACAUUCGGGGCUCAGAUCUUUGGAGAAAUACGGUCUCCUCUGAGCCUGCUGGUGUUAAAUAAAUCUCCAAUACCUCAAGGUCUCUGAGUGCCACUUGGUUUUACCGCCAGCGUUCCAGCCUGGUCCCAUAACAAAUUUGGUUCCCUGCUCAGGAAACACAACCACGCUGGCUCAUUGUUACCACGGGUUUGGGAGAACAGCGAGGUGGUGAUGGAAUGAGGGAUCACAAGGUAGAGUGAGCAACCUGCCUAAAUGUCAGCAGUCUCCUUCUCUGUCCCCUUCAGGCCAGCACCUGUCCGCUGUUCCCACUGGACUCGACGACACUUGGCAGAUGUGAGGGAUUCUCCCUCAUUUCCCAGGUUAACAGCUACAAUUGGAGUGUGCCAUGGGGCAUACUCUGGAUGUUACCUGCUAACGAGCUGCGCACUGAAACUGGGCCCUGAAAAAGCAGACCUAGGGCAGCCGACUCCAUCUUGUUCUGUAAAGAAGUUCCCGCUCAAGCCUCAGACCACGCCUCCUCCCCUUGAGUAACUUCCUGCUCACCUGUUCAAACUUCCCAAUCAAACCAUGCCUGGCAACCUGCGUGACGGGACUCUGAUCCUUCCCCAGCCAAUCAGCUGAGGCCACGACUCUUCCCCAGCCAAUCGGCUAAGGCCAUGAUCCCUAUAAAACCUUUGUGCUCUUGAAACCCGCUCUCCCUCCCCAGUAUCUUACCACUGCAUCAGCGCAGGUAGCGGAUUGAGCUCGAGCUAGCUCGAAUAAAGGCUCUUUGCUUUUGCA
rnacentral:lncRNA from 1 species